rnacentral:rRNA from 1 species
AUACGGAGGGUACAAACGUUGUUCGGAAUUACUGGGCAUAAAGCGCACGUAGGCGGCCCGAUAAGUCAGUUGUGAAAGCCCUCGGCUCAACCGGGGAACUGCAAUUGAAACUGUCGGGCUUGAGGGUGGUUGGGGUGAGUGGAACUUCUGGUGGAGCGGUGAAAUGCGUAGAUAUCAGAAGGAACACCAGUGGCGAAAGCGGCUCACUGGACCAUUCCUGACGCUGAGGUGCGAAAGCUAGGGUAGCGAACGGGAUUAGAUACCCCAGUAGUCC